rnacentral:rRNA from 1 species
UACGUAGGGUGCAAGCGUUUGUCCGGAAUUAUUGGGCGUAAAGAGCUCGUAGGCGGUGUGUCGCGUCUGCUGUGAAAACUCAGGGCUCAACUCUGAGCUUGCAGUGGGUACGGGCACACUUGAGUGCUGUAGGGGAGACUGGAAUUCCUGGUGUAGCGGUGAAAUGCGCAGAUAUCAGGAGGAACACCGGUGGCGAAGGCGGGUCUCGUGGGCAGUUGACUGACGCUGGAGGAGCGAAAGCAUGGGGAGCGAACAGGA